rnacentral:tRNA from 1 species
GCCUCCAUAGCUCAGCGGUUAGAGCAUCUGUUUUGUAAACAGAGGGUCGCAGGUUCAAAUCCUGCUGGGGGCU